rnacentral:rRNA from 1 species
UACGGGGGGAGCAAGCGUUGUUCGGAUUUACUGGGCGUAAAGGGCGCGUAGGCGGUCGUGACAAGUCACUUGUGAAAUCUCCGGGCUUAACUCGGAACGGUCAAGUGAUACUGUCGGACUAGAGUACAGAAGGGGCAACUGGGAAUUCUCGGGUGUAGCGGUGAAAUGCGUAGAUAUCAGGAGGAACACCGGUGGCGAAGGCGGGUCUCUGGGCCGAUGACUGACGCUGGAGGAGCGAAAGCGUGGGGAGCGAACAGG